GUCGUCGUGGCCGAGUGGUUAAGGCGACAGACUAGAAAUCUGUUGGGCUCUGCUCGCACAGGUUCGAAUCCUGUCGGCGACG
rfam:Ciona savignyi cont_40587, whole genome shotgun sequence.